CACAUGUAUUUGAUUCAAUUUAAUAUUUUAAUAUAGUUUUUCUUUGAGCUGUCUGAUACGCUCUAUUCUCCUUAAAUUUAUGUGAUCUGCACAGAAUGUCCAAGAAAGCAGGGGUGUGUAGUUUCCCCAAAUUGACCAACACAGGGAACCAGGAGCUGGAGAAGUGAAGUGGCAUGGCCUUUGUCACACUCCUGGUAAUUGGUGGAGCUGGGACUUAAAUCAGGGUCCUCCUGAGCCAUGAAGAUCCCUCCCUCUCCCCCCAAGCCCUGGAGUGCUGGAAGCAGCCAGUAUGGUGGGGACCUGCCUUGGAUUGGUUGGGUGGUUCUAGCGCCUAUGACAGGAGGCAUAGCCAGCCAGAUCCACACAUGGCAGCAAGUGAUGCAGGCCAGCUCCUCAAAUCACCUGUGCCUCUACUUCAUCUCCUUACAUUUGGGCCCAGAAAGGGGGAUCUCUUAUCUCAGGCCUCAUGCAGAGCCAGAGGCAAAAAGAAGACCAGGGAGUGCUGACCCCAGCCCCAGGCUCUUGCCCAGAAGCCACGUGGAGCCUCCCUGGUGCCUUCUUGAAGCCUAGGGAACUCCCCUCCUGCUCAUAAAUGUCAGGUUCUGAGGAGCCAGCAUGCCUGGUGACAGCCUCUCCUCAGCCCCCUGGCAGGGCUCCCUGGCCUUCAUAACCCCGUCCAGUAGGGUGGGGAUUACUCAGCAUAUCAGUGCCUGUGGAAGUAAGGGGAGCCAAGCUCUUUCCUCUGUGCAGCUUUCCCUGGGUUACAAGCUAAUGCCUGUGAAGGAACAUUAGCUCAUCCAAGUUUAUGGGUUAUGUGGAAAUCAAAUUGCAGUAAUCUCCCUGGCCAUCUGGUCUUGGCACUGCUAGCCAGAACUUCCCAGAGGUCUUUUCAGGGCCCUGAGCAGAGCUGGGGCCAGGGCUGGAUAUGCUUGUUGUGCCUGGGGCCAGGUCAAGAUUUUCCAGGGGCCCUGGAAACAUUUGUACCCCCAGCACCAGAGAAAGGAAGGCAGGGUAGGACGGCCGCAGCUCGAGUGGGGCUGUGGAAACCCACUCAUUGCCAACACCACUGCAUCUGGAUGGUCCACCUGCUCUUGUAAACGAUGCUCAACCUUGCAUUUUAGAAGGCCUCGUUAGGAACAUUCCUGGGCUUGGGUGCUGAGAGGGGAAUUUUUCUCAAGAUUAGAUGCAGAGGUCUGUAAGAAGUCCAGCCUCAGAAGUAGAGUGCUUCUGAACGUUGGACCUUCCCUGCCUCCAGGGAGUAGGAGUCAGGAUUUCUGUAGCUAAUAGUUGGGCUCUUCUGUCAUGGGUGACAGAAAGCUCACAGCCCAUCGAAGCUUUUGAGGGAGAAAGAAGAGAGGAAGGGCAGUGUCAUGUAAGGGAGAACCGAGUGGACUCUGGCUCCAGACUGUCAGGUUCGAACUCAGCUCUGGCACCUGACAGCUGUAUGAUCAUGGGCAAGUUAUUUGACCUCUCUGUGCCUUAUCUGCAAGAUGGGAGUACAAAUAGGACAUACCUUGUGGGGUUUCUGUGAGGAUCAAAUGAGUGUGUGUUUAAAGUGCAGGAAAGAUUUCCUGGCAACCAGGGUCCCUGAGUCUGGAGACUGUCCUUAGUGUAGGGUUGUAGUCGGGGCCAGCUGUGUUGAAGUAUUGGGCAGUGGAGAGAGAGUACUGUUUUGUAGCGUUUGCCAUUUUCCAUGGUGUAAAUACUGCCACUGUGGCUAGUUUUGAGCUAUCACUGUGGUGUCACUAAAUGAGGAAGAAGUGCUCCCAGUUGGCUCUCAGGAGUGGGCGUGAGGUGGUUCCUGCACAGCUCUGGCCCACUACCUCUGAUGUGAUAAGGCUGCUUAAUAAAUAUUAAAAAUUUCUAUACUGGUUGGUAAAUAGCCACCAUCUCAAGAUCCUCCUACCACGUCAUCAACCCUGGCCCUCCCCUCAUGGUCUUCCAGAGCUCCCACUGGUCCAUGAACUGAAGGACCCUAUGAGGACCCUGCUGCUGUGAUAUGUCUAGUAUUAGUUCUAACUGGUCAUGGAUAUGUCAGACCAGUAGAAAAAUCAUUUGGGUAUCACAGGUCUGUCGUUUAGAAAUAUCAAACCAAUAAGCUGAGGGACCCUGGCUGUGGAUGUGAUUCCUGGCCCACCACUUUCAGCUGCCUUGUGAGGUCCCAUCUCCGUGGUGUUCCCCAGCACAACCAAAGACAGAGGCGGAGCCUUGUAUCCAGAGGUUGAACUGGGUGAUAAUGUACAUCUCCACUAAAGUAGAGUUUGCACAUGAUUUGCAUUAAUGAUUAAAAAUAUAAUCAACAUGACCCGCCUUACCAGCUUGGAAUGCAAAUACCAUUGCAUUUCUUUUUUUCUCCAAGUAAUUCCUUGAGUAGUGUGUGUUAUGUGAAAGUUUGAGAUCUCUCUUUUGAGACUUCCUGUCUUGUCAAAUUGUUCACUCAGUAUGAAAGGAGAAGACCUACUUCAAAUGCCAGGCAGGAAAAUAAUUGGAGUCUGACUUGUCUGCUCACUGGCUGUCUUAGUGGGUAGCAUCCAUGGCGCCCUCACUCAGGACUCCAGACCUGUAUGCCAAGAGGGUUGGAUCUAGGGUAGAAUGGGACCAGGCAGGUAGUAGAAAUGAGUGUAAUGGGCUGUGGAUGACAAUAAAGACUGGCGGGGUCUGUGGUGAAGUGGCAUGUGCAUUCCUGCAAGCAACUGUGAACAAAUGUGGGCGCCGUGUUGCCAGGUUGUCUCGUGUUUUCAAAAGAAACAGGAUACAUAUGGGGUUUUAUUUUUGAGGCAUAACACAUACAACAAAAUAUAAACAUCCAAAUGAUUUUUUACAUAUGUGUACAUUUCACAUAUGUAACCACCAUCCAUACUAACAUACAGAAAUUUUCAUCUCUCAGAAAAUCCCCUUGUGCUUCUUUCUAAGUCAAUAACUACCACUCCCUUACUAAAAGUAACCAUUGAUCUCUGUAUCCGUGUUAACUGUGUCUGAUCUUGAACUUCCUAUGAUUAACAUCUUACAGUAUGUGUUCUUUUGUGUCUAGCUUCUUUUGUUCAACAUGCUACUCUUGAGAUUUUCUAUCUCAUGUUAACAGUAGUUCAUUCCUUUUAUUGCUGAUAGUACCAAAUACCACAAUUUGCUUGCCCAUGCUCUUGUUGAGGGAUAUUUGGAUUCUUUUUACUUCUUGGCUAUAGUGGAUACAGCUGCUGUUAGUCUUCUUCUUCUUCUUCUUUUUUUUUUUUUUCUGGACAUGUGCACUCUUUUCUCUUGGAUACUUCUCUUUGGAGUAAUAUUGCUGGCCCAUAGUAUAGGUCUGUGAAACUUUAUUAGAAAGGGACACUUUUCCGUGGUGGUUAUGUCAAUUUACAUUCUCACCAGCAGUGAAUGAGUUUUAGUGGCUCUAUACCCUUACCAGCACUUUGGGCCAUUCUACUGGGCGUGCAGUGGUACUGCACUGUGGUUUCAAUUUGUGUAUCAGAGGCAUAAUGAUAUUGAACACCUUUACUUAUAUUUAUUGGCCAUUCAGUAUUUUCUUUUGUGGAAUUCCUUUUCAACUCCUUGCCCUUUAAAAAAAUCGGGCUGCCUUAUUAUUGUUUUAUGUAAGGUAUUCUCUAUUCUUAAACAGUCUGAACACAAUAAACUAAUACUCACAGGUGUGCUGUGAGUAUUUUCUGAUAGUCGGUAACUUGCUUUUUCACUUUCUUGAUGGUGCUGUUAUUUUUUCCUUAGAUGUUUGGUAGAAGCCAUCUGACUCUGAAGUUUAAUUUAUAUAAGGUUUUUUUUUGUUUGUUUGUUUUUGUUUUUUGUUUUUUAUCUUUUUACGGCCGCACCCGUGGCAUAUGGAGGUUCCCAGACUCGGGGUUGAAUUGUAGCUAUAGCUGCCAGCCUACACCAGAGCCACAGCAAUGCCAGAUCUGGAUCCGAGCCGCGUCUGUGAACUAUACCACAGCUCAUGGCAACGCCGGAUCCCCAACCCACUGGGCAAGAAGACCAGGGAUUGAACCCGCAACCUCAUGGUUACUAGUCAGGUUCGUUAACCACUGAGCCAUGACGUGAACUCUUAUAUAAGGUGUUAAACUACAGAUUAAAGUAACAAAAAUGGGAUCUCCUCUUUCUCCUUGCCUCAGUUUCGAUGGUGUUUUUCAAGGGAUAUUUUUGCUUUCCUCUAACUUGCCCAAUUUGUUAACAUAAAGUGCUUCAUAAUAUCUCCUAUUAUCCUUUCUAACAUAUACAGGAUCUAUAAUAUGUAAUAUAUUCUAUAUGCAUUAUAUAUAUAUAAUAUAUCUAUAAUAUAUAAUAAUUCUCCUUUUUAUUCCUAAUAUUAAUAUUCUAUUUAAUCUCCUUUUGACCUGAUUAUUCUUACUAGACAUUCACUAUUUUUUUUUUUUUGUCUUUUUAGGGCUGCACCCGCGGCAUAUGGAGGUAUCCAGGCUAGGGGUCGAAUCGGAGCUGUUGCUGCUGGCCUACGCCACAACCACAGCCACGCCAGAUCCGAGCCGUUUCUGCGACCUACACCAUAGCUCCUGGCAAUGCCAGAUCCUUAACCCACUGAGCGAGGCAAGGGAUCGAACCUGAAACCUCAUGGUUCCCAGUCGGAUUCAUUUCCACUGCACCACAACGGGGACUAAUUUCAUCAACAUUAAAUAACACAAAAUUUUGCUCUGUUAUUUUUCUAUUUCAUUGAUUUUUUUUUUUUGCUCUUAUAUUUUCUUUUCUUUUAUUCUGGGUGAAAUUUUUUCUUUUUUUUAGCUUCUUGAGGUAGAAUCUUUGGCCAUUAAUUUUAUACCUUUAUUCUUUUCUAAUAGACAUCUUGAAAACUAUGUAUUUCCCUCUAAGCAUUGCUUUAAUUGCAUUCUACAGAUUUUAGUAUGCUCUUUGUUCAGUUCAAAAUAUUUUCUCAUUUCUUAAGGAUUUCUUCUUCUUUGACGCCUGCAGUCUUUGUUGUUACCAUUGUUUGUUUUGUUUUUUAAAGAGUGUUACUUAAUCCUUACAUAUUUAGAGACUUUUGCGUUCUGUUAAUGAUUUUUAUUUUACUUUACUGUGGUCGGAGAACAUACUCUGUAUGAUUUUAACCCUUUGAGAUUUAUCAAGACUUGCUUUAUGUCUCAGCAUAGGGAUUAUUUUGGUGAUUGCUCCAUGUAGACUUAACAAAAGUUAUAUUCUGUAGGGAUUUUUUUUUGUAGUUGUUAAAUAUUUUUAAAUGAAUAUUAAUUAGUUCUAGGUGGUUGAUGAUGUUUAAAUCUUCUGUAUACUUAUUAAUUUUAUGACUGAUUGUUCUAUUAAUUAAACAUUUAUGAUUAUAGACAUGCUUAUUUAUCCUUUUACUUAUAUUAGUUUUAGCUUUACAUAUAUUGAAGCUCUAUUAUUAGGUAUAUGCAUUUAUGAUUGUUAGGUCUUCCCGAUGAAUUGACUCUUUGUUAUUGUAACAUGUUCCCUUUAUUUCUAGUAAUGUUCCUUGUCUAGAAGUCAAUUUGUCUGAUAUGAAUAUAGCUACACCAACUUUCUUCUGCUUAACAUUUAUAUAGUAUGUCUCUUUUCAUCUUUUACAGUCAAACUAUGUCCUUAUAUUUAAAUGAUCUCUUACAAAUAGUAUAAUUUGAGAUUAUUAUCCAGACAGGCAAUCUUACUUUUUAAAAAUUGUAGUGGCUGGUUAUUUACAUUUAGUAUAAUUAAGGAUAUGGCUGGCUUUAAGUUUGCCUUCUACUGUGUGUCCAGUCUCAAUCUCUUUUUUUAUAUAUUUGUUUCUUAUUUUCAGCCUUCUUUUGAAUUAAUCAAGUAUUUUAUUAUUAUUAAAGUAUAGUUGAUUU
rnacentral:lncRNA from 1 species